UACGUAGGGGGCUAGCGUUGUCCGGAUUUAUUGGGCGUAAAGAGCGUGUAGGCGGCCAGGUAGGUCUGGUGUGAAAACUCGAGGCUUAACCUCGAGAUGUCAUCGGAAACCAUCUGGCUAGAGUCCGGAAGAGGCAAGUGGAAUUCCCGGUGUAGCGGUGAAAUGCGCAGAUAUCGGGAGGAACACCAAUGGCGAAGGCGGUUCUCUGGGCCUUACCUGACGCUGAGGAGCGAAAGCGUGGGGAGCGAACAGG
rnacentral:rRNA from 1 species